GUCCAGUUGAUGAGUCCUGAAUAGGACGAAACGCGCAUUUUGGAU
rnacentral:hammerhead_ribozyme from 1 species